UUAAGUGAGUCAGAAUUUCUAGAGCUCAAGAGGGAGCUGGAGGAAUUAGAAACAGAAGGUGCAUUCAUCAGCUUUGCGAUGAUAACAGGGGGUCCUGGGUGACUACUCUGCACCCCGUGAGCCUAAUAAAUAUCAUUCAAAUUAAUGCCCUAAGAAGCGUUUGUGCUCCAGUUCCUUUUUCAGCCAGAUAUAACUCGGGAAUGGAUACAUGUGAGAGAAUUGAGGUCAGUAUUUAUUUAAAGGAAUGCGGAAGGGAGGAAAGAGAGAGAGGCUGACUAAAACCAGAGACUUCAAAGAAAUGAAGGUUUGAUGGUUGAGAAUAACAGGACCAAAGACUCUGUAAAGGCCACAUAUUUCCUUGUUGAAAAAAUUGUAGGAGAUGAAUUUGAAUAAGAAGAAGCAAAGUUAGUUGAUAACAUUGGAUGGAAGAGAGGGGAGCGUGUGGGAGUAGGCUGACUGUGAGAUCCUUCCAGACUGGGCUCUGCCAAUUGACGUCAGCCUGCCACGAGCCUCCCCCAGAUUCUGCAGACCAGCUGGGCCGGCCAACUGUGCAGGCUGUGGAACUGGUGUUAAAAUAUUUGGAUAUGGCCAUGAGAAGUGAAUAGACUCUCGGAAUCGCAGACUGUUUGCUGUGCUAGCAGAAGCCUUGGAGACUAAACUCCCAUGAGAAAGGAUGGUCUCCUGAAUUCAUUUUUCUCAUUUAUAUAAGCCAGAAGAAUUUAUAAUUGUAAAUCAGAUUUGAAUUUAGUAAUUAGAUAAAUGAGUUAACAGCUUUUGAAAAUGAAUCACUUUGUAAGUUCAUAUUUUAGGUCUCAAGAAUAUGACACUCAGUAUAUAAAGGAGAAUCAGGAGAGUUUAAAACUGGGGAUAACAUUUGGAGACAGGGGAGCUCACAGCCUGGCCACCUAGACUCAAAGUCAGUUAUUGAUGGAUCUGGCCAGUAGUUAUUGGGCACUAUCUGCGGGCCGGGACAUGUCCUAGGCACUAGAACAAACUCAGUGCCACAAAAGAAAACAAAUAGAACUCUUUGCACUCAUGCGACUGACAGCCUAGAAGAGGAGACAGAAAAUAAGAAAAUAGACAUAAAUAAGUAAAUCAUUUAGUCUAAGAUGGGAACAGUGUUUUUAUCUUUUAUUUUUAAUUAAUUAAUUUAUUUAUUUAUUUGAGAUGGAGUUUCGCUCUUGUUACCCAGGCUGGAGUGCAAUGGCGCGAUCUCGGCUCACUGCAACCUCCUCCUCCUGGGUUCAGGCAAUUCUCCUGCCUCAGCCUCCUGAGUAGCUGGGAUUACAGGCACGUGCCACCAUGCCCAGCUAAUUUUUUGUAUUUUUUUAGUAGAGACGGGGUUUCACCAUGUUGACCAGGAUGGUCUCGAUCUCUUGACCUCGUGAUCCACCCGCCUCGGGCCUCCCUAAGUGCUGGGAACAGUGUUUUUAAAAAGCAGAGCAAGAGUAUUUGGAAGAGAUGUUGGGGGCUGGGAGACAGGUGGCAAUUUGAACAGAAUGAUACAGAGUAUUGGUCUUUUUGGGAGAUUGUUAUUUGGGCAACCACUUGAAGAAGGUGAAGGACUGAGAAGAGCAGACAUUUGAAGGAAGAGCUCUCCAGCAGGGGACAGCUGCUGCAAAUGCCCCCGGGCUGAACCACACUCAGGGGGUUCAGCAGUGAAGCUCCAGUUGCUGUAGCAGGGAACCAGGGCAGAAAAGCUGGAGACAGGAUGAGGGAGGAAAACCCAUCAGGACCUGAGGCCAUUGUAAAGCCUUAGCCUUUACUCAGAAUAAAAUGGAGAACAACCAGAGAGUUUUAAGCAGAGGAGCCAAAGGGAGGUGAUCCGAUUUACGUUUUGAAGGGUCUGGAGACUGGCGCAGCGGAGAAGAGAAAGAAGAUCCAGACUCUGAAUAAAUUGCAUCUCAAAGGUGGCAACUGGACAAGGUGAAAGAAAGAAUGGGAGACGUGAGAGAAAAGAAUGAGGUAAACACAACCUGAUGUUUUUGGCCGAAGCUACUAGAGAGAUGUUUCCUUCAGCAGAGAUGGGGAUUAAAGGACAAUGCUGUCACCUACUGUGUGCUGAGCUCCGGGCCAGGGGCUAACUCCCUAAGUGUGAGCCAGGUCAGUAUUUUUUCAUCUCCAGGUCAGGACCAAUUUAAUUUUUACAAGUUAGGGAUUCUUGACUAGAAUUUUAAAAAAACAAAUGGAAUAAUGUUGUGGAUACUUUGGUUCUGCACCAAGACACCUGAAGUGCUGCUGCUGGCUCAGGGCUGCGCAUUUCACUGGCUCCCGUCUGUGAUCACAGUGAACCCGCUGUCUGGAGAAGGGGAAGUGCAGCCAGACAGUGCCUGGCUGAUGUGGGUACGGGGUCUAACCUCUUGAGUUCAGUUUGGUAAGUAUCAGAAGAAUUAAUCCAGUUCCGGGUCUCCCCAGACGAUGGGCUGAGGCCUCAGCAAUGAAAAAGCUUUGUCUUCUUCUAGAAACGAGGCAAAUAUCAAGGGCCAAAUCCUAGUGAAACCAUGAUGACAUGCCGAGCUUGCCAAGACAGUAGGGGCGAUGCGUUGAUGAAGAGGAGCAACAGGAUCUAGAAAAUGUCUUGGUCGGGCCUGUGGCCUGUGAAAACCAGGGAAGGGUCUGCUAGCUCAAAUGUGUCUCCCCAGGUCACAUUGCCCUGUGGUGCUGUGCAGAGUAGUAGACAGGGUUUUGCCCUUUCAUCCAGGCCAGAGUGCAGUGGUAGGAGCAUAUUUCAGUGCAUCCUCAAAUUCCUGGAUUUAAACCAUCCUUCUGCUUCAGUGUCCAGGGUAGCUGGGACUUCCACAGGCACGUGCCAUCAUGCUCAGCUACUUUUAAAUUUUUAUUCAUUUUUGUAGAGAUGAGGUCUUGCUAUGUUGCUUAGACUGGUCUCAUAGUUCUGUAUCUUGGUUGUGGUGGUGGUGAUUUUGUGAAUCUACACAUGCAGUAAAAUGACACAGAAAUAAAACUAUACACACACAGUGAACACAUUGAAACAACGCCAGUUUCCUGGUUUUGCUAUUGUACGGUAUUAUAUGACAUAUUGUGUAUUAUAUUGUAUUAUACAAUUGCUACUGUGCGGUAUUUUACAAGACAUAACCCCUGGGGGAAGCUGGUGACAUGUACCAGGGAUCUCUUUGUACUAUCUUUCCAAUUUCCUUUGAAUCUAUAACAAUUUCCAAAUAAAUGGUUUUUAAAAAUUAUUCUCUUGGAUUUCUGGAGGUCAGAAUUCUGAAAUGAGUUUCACUAGGCUGAGACCAGGGUGUCAGCAGGACCACCUCCUUUGGAGGCUCUAGGGAGCAUUCAUUUCCUUCCCUGUUCCACUUUCUAAAGCUGCAUUCUUUGCACUUCUUGGCUCAGGAUCCCUUUCUCCGUCUUCAGGACCAGUAGGGUAUCGUCUUCACAUCUCUCUCGGCUGUCUUCACAUACCUUUUCCUUCUCUUGGCAAAUCUCUCUCUGGAUGCCUCUUACAAGGAUGCCUAUGAUUAUAUUUAGGGCCAGAUAAUCCAGGAUAAUCUCCUUAUCUCAAAGUCUUUUUUUUUUUUUUGAGACGGAGUUUCCCUCUUGUUACCCAGGCUGGAGUGCAAUGGCGCGAUCUCGGCUCACCGCAACCUCCGCCUCCUGGGUUCAGGCAAUUCUCCUGCCUCAGCCUCCCGAGUAGCUGGGAUUACAGGCACGCACCACCGUGCCCAGCUAAUUUUUUGUAAUUUUAGUAGAGACGGGGUUUCACCAUGUUGACCAAGAUGGUCUCGAUCUGUUGACCUCGUGAUCCACCCGCCUCGGCCUCCCAAAGUGCUGGGAUUACAGGCGUGAGCCACCGCGCCCGGCCUAUCUCAAAGUCUUUAAUCAAGUCUUCAAAGUUCCUGAUACUAUGUCAGGCAACACUCAUACGUUCCAGGGCUUAGGACCUGGAUAUGGUUCCGGGCUGUCAUUCAGCCUGCUACGACUGUCACGCGACUUGCUGCAAUGGACAUUUAUAACACACGCAUCCCAUGCGUCAGACAACACAUUGUUUUCAAGUAC